GACAGAGGUGCCAAGCGUUAGGCGGAAUCACUGGGCUUAAAGCGUGUGUAGGCGGAUCUAAGUGCUUGUGAAAUCCCACGGCUCACCGUGGAACUGCUGGGCAUACUGGGCAUCUUGGGCCAACUGGCGGAACUGGAACAAGCGGUGGAGCGGUGAAAUGCGUAGAUAUCGCUUGGAACGCCGAAGGUGAAAACAGGUUGCUGGGGGUAGUGCUGCGCGUGAGACACGAAAGCCAGGGGGAGCAAACGGGG
rnacentral:rRNA from 1 species